GCAUCAUGACGUAGAAGCUGUUCCCAACAUCAACAAAUAUGGCUUUAAUAGGUCUUACAGCGGAAAGAACGCUACCCUGUACGGACAAGGUGUGUACUUCGCCGUGGAUGCAAGCAUCUCUUCUAUGGACAUGUACUCUCCUCCAGACACCUAUGGUAUCAAAUAUGUCUACAGGGCUCGGGUCCUGACGGGCAGAUACACCAAGGGGGAUGCCAAAAUGAGGGACCCUCCCCUUGUUGACCCUACUCGCUCUGUCAGGUUUACCUCAACCACAAACAACACUUCACGACCAUCGCUGUUCUGCAUCUAUCGGGACGCACAUUCCUACCCAGAGUACCUGAUCUCUUUCCAGCUGUCACUGCCUCAAACAUCAUAGAUCAGAACUCGGGACAGCGUCAGAAGGGCAGCUUUGAUCAUAGACUUGAGGACCUGCUUGUGUAACAAAUAUUGUUUUCUUCGUUCAUGUCCAAGUCUUUCAAAGCAAAUGGUAGCCACUAUAACCUGCUUUUACUUCAUAAUCACUACUAAACAUUAUUCCAUAGCGAUAUUUGUAAUAGUUCGAAUUCUGUAAAUUGGUUGUGGAGAAAUGGGCGCUUAUAGGUAAUUGUGUUCAUAAAUUCAGGUUAUUCAAUUUUAGUUUACAACAUUAUAAAUUGAUUGUGGAGAAAGGGGGAUUAUGGGUAAUUGUGUUAUUAAACUCAGAUGUUUCAAUUGUAGUUUACAAAUGUCUGUUACAAUUUAGUUUUGGUAUGUGAACAUUACAAAAAUGUUCUAGGUUGUUGAGUUGUAUGUAAACAAAAAGUCUUUAUCUGACAAAAAAUGACAAUAAUGAAAGAGAGAGGCAUUGACUAAUCUGCCACGCAUAUUCCACAGGGUUCCAACGGUGUAAAUGAAUGACUAGUAUAGGGGAGGUAACUGUACAUGGGUCAAACACAUUAGUGAAACAAACAUCAGUGGAACCACAUUAUUAAACGAUAUUGCAUUGGGACGAGUAUUUUGUUUUCUUCUAAAUGUGUCUGGGUCACUGAAACAUUUUGAAUCAUUUUAUUCAUUAUAUUUGUACUGGUUCUGUUAAGUCUGAGGGGUUUAAGGAGAAUUAUACAAAAAAUCAAUCAACGAGUAUUUAAUUUCUUCAAAUAUUUUCUCGUUAUUUACAUUACUAUUAAAGUUUUCAUUUUUUCAUUUUACAUCGAAUGGAUUUUCGUAAUGCCAAUAAUUUCCUAUUCCUUGAAAUGAUUUCAAAACAAGAAAUUUUGAUUUUUUUUCUUGAUGCUUCCAUUAUUUUCUCGUAAUUGUGAGUAUUUUCUCUGUUUUCUUGUUUAGGAAGACGUAUUCAUGUUGACAUAACUUUUUUAAAAGUUUCCGAUAUAUCCUGGUUACGUUCAUAUUUUUCCACUUGAAUUCAAACUGUGAAAAUUCUAUGCCAGAGAAUACCUCAUACGAACCUCAUAAAAUGGGAUGGCAUAGCACAUCAAGUUCACAUAUGACGAGUCAUAUUUAGUUAAUCCACCAGCAUGUAAAUGUAAUUUGUUUCAUAGUAACCAGUUUUGACUCUCCUCAGAAACAUUCAAUGUCGCGCACAGGGCAAAAUAGCUGUUACAAUUGUGUGACUUGAACAUCAGCGGUCUUGAAAAGCAGCAUGCCCUGCCGGACCAAUAGUACUCGUGACUCAUGUAAUUUUCUUAAAACAGUGAGCAUAGCUUGUGUGACACCGCAUAUCUUGUGUGACACCGUACAAUAAUCCUGCAAUGCGAUGGUGGUUCGGUUAGUAUUGUAGAAACACAGGAUUACCUUCAAGGCCUACAGGAAGUAAGGGCAAACGAGCACAGUGUGGGAAGAACUUGGUGACAUCCUCGUUGAUCUUGUAGUCUGUCUGGAGGUCGACGUUCUGUGUUUUCCUCUACACGCAGUGGGCAAAAUGAAAGUAACAUCCUUUCCAGGCGGAAUCGGGAAACAAUCGAACUCUCGUAACUGUACAUAGGCCAUUGUAAAAAUGAUACUAGCUUUUGUAACUUGAUGGUAUUUAUACAAUAUGUAAGAUCUGUAAGUGUACUGUGUGGCACUGAUUGAGUGAGCAAAUUAAUUAUGUUUUUCAAAGUGUAGUUGGAUUCCAUUGUGUAAAAGGCCAAACAGUGUUCAAAAUAAACAGAGAUAUCAUCAGAAACGUAAUUGUCAUUCAUCAACAUGGAGGGGGAAAUGAAAAAUUGAAUGGUCCCAGCUAUAUCAUCAUAAUUUCAACUCAAACAUCCAGAUAUUACACGUAUCGGCUUUUGAGGUAAAGCUAUUCAUU
rnacentral:lncRNA from 1 species